UGAAUAUCAUCGAAUCCAACCCCAUGGUAACUUCAAAGAACAUCACAACCUGGCACAUGAAAAGGGUGCAAAACGUGCCACAAAUUAUAGAGGUAGACAACAAGCACAAAAGCUUCAAAGGUUUCUUGAGAAGUUCCCUGAUAGCUUAUGAAGUAAAAUUACAUCUUGGGGGAACUGAAUUAACAUGUAAUGAUGUAAUAAAUAAAAGUUUAUCAAAAUGUUAUUCGUUCUA